rnacentral:rRNA from 1 species
GUGGGGAAUAUUGGACAAUGGGCGCAAGCCUGAUCCAGCCAUGCCGCGUGAGUGAUGAAGGCCUUAGGGUUGUAAAGCUCUUUCACCGAUGAAGAUAAUGACGGUAGUCGGAGAAGAAGCCCCGGCUAACUUCGUGCCAGCAGCCGCGGUAAUACGAAGGGGGCUAGCGUUGUUCGGAAUUACUGGGCGGAAAGAGCAAGUAGGCGGAUAUUUAAGUCAGGGGUGAAAUCCCAGAGCUCAACUCUGGAACUGCCUUUGAUACUGGGUAUCUCGAGUAUGGAAGAGGUGAGUGGAAUUCCGAGUGUAGAGGUGAAAUUCGUAGAUAUUCGGAGGAACACCAGUGGCGAAGGCGGCUCACUGGUCCAUUACUGACGCUGAGGUGCGAAAGCGUGGGGAGCAAACAGGAUUAGAAACCCGGGUAGUCC